UACGAAGGGGGCUAGCGUUGCUCGGAAUCACUGGGCGUAAAGCGCACGUAGGCGGCUUUUUAAGUCAGGGGUGAAAUCCUGGAGCUCAACUCCAGAACUGCCUUUGAUACUGAGAGCUUGAGUCCGGGAGAGGUGAGUGGAAUUGCGAGUGUAGAGGUGAAAUUCGUAGAUAUUCGCAAGAACACCAGUGGCGAAGGCGGCUCACUGGCCCGGAACUGACGCUGAGACGCGAAAGCGUGGGGAGCAAACAGG
rnacentral:rRNA from 1 species